GGGAUAACAUUUGGAAACAGAUGCUAAUACCGCAUAACAACGAAAACCACAUGGUUUUCGCUUGAAAGAUGGCUUAUGCUAUCACUCUGGGAUGGACCCGCGGUGCAUUAGCUAGUUGGUAAGGUAACGGCUUACCAAGGCGAUGAUGCAUAGCCGAGUUGAGAGACUGAUCGGCCACAAUGGAACUGAGACACGGUCCAU
rnacentral:rRNA from 1 species